rnacentral:piRNA from 1 species
UGGUGUGAUGCUACUGUAAUGUAAUA